AGUGAACGCUGGCGGUAGGCCUAACACAUGCAAGUCGAACGGCAGCACAGUAAGAGCUUGCUCUUACGGGUGGCGAGUGGCGGACGGGCGAGGAAUACAUCGGAAUCUACCUUUUCGUGGGGGAUAACGUAGGGAAACUUACGCUAAUACCGCAUACGACCUACGGGUGAAAGCAGGGGAUCUUCGGACCUUGCGCGAUUGAAUGAGCCGAUGUCGGAUUAGCUAGUUGGCGGGGUAAAGGCCCACCAAGGCGACGAUCCGUAGCUGGUCUGAGAGGAUGAUCAGCCACACUGGAACUGAGACACGGUCCAGACUCCUACGGGAGGCAGCAGUGGGGAAUAUUGGACAAUGGGCGCAAGCCUGAUCCAGCCAUACCGCGUGGGUGAAGAAGGCCUUCGGGUUGUAAAGCCCUUUUGUUGGGAAAGAAAAGCAGCAGGUUAAUACCCCGCUGUUCUGACGGUACCCAAAGAAUAAGCACCGGCUAACUUCGUG
rnacentral:rRNA from 1 species